GGCAAUAUGGCCGAGCGGUCUAAGGCGCCAGAAUCAGGCAGGAUGAAAUCCGGUCAUAUCUGGUCCGAAAGGGCGUGGGUUCGAAUCCCACUGUUGUCA